GACGAACGCUGGCGGCGUGCUUAACACAUGCAAGUCGAACGGAAAGGCCCUGCUUUUGUGGGGUGCUCGAGUGGCGAACGGGUGAGUAACACGUGAGUAACCUGCCCUUGACUUUGGGAUAACUUCAGGAAACUGGGGCUAAUACCGGAUAGGAGCUCCUGCUGCAUGGUGGGGGUUGGAAAGUUUCGGCGGUUGGGGAUGGACUCGCGGCUUAUCAGCUUGUUGGUGGGGUAGUGGCUUACCAAGGCUUUGACGGGUAGCCGGCCUGAGAGGGUGACCGGCCACAUUGGGACUGAGAUACGGCCCAGACUCCUACGGGAGGCAGCGGGGGGGAAUAUUGCACAAUGGGCGGAAGCCUGAUGCAGCAACGCCGCGUGCGGGAUGACGGCCUUCGGGUUGUAAACCGCUUUCGCCUGUGACGAAGCGUGGGUGACGGUAAUGGGUAAAGAAGCACCGGCUAACUACGUG
rnacentral:rRNA from 1 species